rnacentral:rRNA from 1 species
AGUGAACGCUGGCGGUAGGCCUAACACAUGCAAGUCGAACGGCAGCACAGUAAGAGCUUGCGCUUACGGGUGGCGAGUGGCGGACGGGUGAGGAAUACAUCGGAAUCUACUUUUUCGUGGGGGAUAACGUAGGGAAACUUACGCUAAUACCGCAUACGACCUACGGGUGAGAGCAGGGGAUCUUCGGACCUUGCGCGAGUGAAUGAGCCGAUGUCGGAUUAGCUAGUUGGCGGGGUAAAGGCCCACCAAGGCGACGAUCCGUAGCUGGUCUGAGAGGAUGAUCAGCCACACUGGAACUGAGACACGGUCCAGACUCCUACGGGAGGCAGCAGUGGGGAAUAUUGGACAAUGGGCGCAAGCCUGAUCCAGCCAUACCGCGUGGGUGAAGAAGGCCUUCGGGUUGUAAAGCCCUUUUGGUGGGAAAGAAAAGCAGCAGGUUAAUACCCCGCUGUUCUGACGGUACCCAAAGAAUAAGCACCGGCUAACUUCGUG